rnacentral:misc_RNA from 3 species
AACGCACCUUGCGCUCCUUGGUAUUCCGAGGAGCAUGCCUGUUUGAGUGUCAUGAAACCCUCAAACCCAAGUUUUGGAUUUCGAUCCAUGCUUGAGUUUGGAUUUGGAUGUUUGCCGGUGAUGAACCGACUCAUCUUAAAAGUAUUAGCUUGGAUCUGUCUAUAUGACUGGUUUGACUUGGCAUAAUAAGUAUUUUGCUGAGGACAUCUUCGGAUGGCCAGGACCUAGACUACUGUCUGCUAACUAAACCAUCACUUUAAGUGCAUCUUUGGAUGUUACUCAUUGUGUAACUUUGACAUCUGGCCUCAAAUCAAGUAGGACUACCCGCUGAACUUAA